rnacentral:rRNA from 1 species
CUUUCAAGUGUCUGACUUAUCAACUUUAGACGGUACAUUAUAUGUCUACCGUGGUUGUAACGAGUACAGAGAAUCAGGGUUUGGUUCUGGAGAGGCCGCCUGAGAAACGGCGACCACUUCCAAGGAAGGCAGCAGGCGCGCAAAUUACCCACUCUCAAAACGAGGAGGUAGUGAAGAGAAAUAACGAUGUUAGUCUAUUAUAGGCUGACAAUCGGAAUGGGAACACUGUAAACAGGUUAUCGAUUAACAAUUGGAGGGCAAGUCUGGUGCCAGCAGCCGCGGUAAUUCCAGCUCCAAUAAGGAAAACUAAAGUUGCUGUGUUUAAAAAGCUCGUAGUUGAAUUUCGGGUAUUUGUUGCUAGCUGGUCUCACUGGCCAUGUUGGUUAACAGAUCCUCAUUUGCUGGACGGCUGGCGAUGAUCUUUAUCGGUUGUCGUCAGUUGCCAGAACGUUUACUUUGAGAAAAUUAGAGUGCUAAAAGCAGGCUCACGCCUAUAUAUAUUGCAUGGAAUAAUGAAAUAAGAUCUCGAUUUUAUUUCGUUGGUUUUAGAAAUUGAGAUAAUGAUUAAUAGGAUCAGAGGGGGGCGUACGUACUGUGGUGUGAGAGGUGAAAUUCUUGGAUCGCCACAGGACGAACAGCAGCGAAGGCGUUCGCCAAGAAUGUUUUCAUUAAUCAAGAACGAAAGUUUGAGGUUCGAAGACGAUUAGAUACCGUCCUAGUUCAAACCAUAAACGUUGCCAA